UUGGAGGGCAAGUCUGGUGCAGCAGCCGCGGUAAUUCCAGCUCCAAUAGCGUAUAUUAAAGUUGUUGCAGUUAAAAAGCUCGUAGUUGAAUUUCGGAGUUUGUCGGUCGGUCGGGCUUCACUGUCCGCACUGGCCUGACGGAUUCCUACCUUCUGAAUAACCAGCAUGCUAUUAAGUUAGUGCGUUGGGGAAGCAGAGCUAUUACCUUGAAAAAAUUAGAGUGCUUAAAGCAGGCUUAUGCUUGAAUAGAUUAGUAUGGAAUAAUAAAAUAGGACGGCAUGGUUCUAUUUUGUUGGUUUCUAGGAUCACCGUAAUGAUUAAUAGGGAUAGUUGGGGGCAUUAGUAUUCAAUUGUCAGAGGUGAAAUUCUUGGAUUUAUUGAAGACUAACUUCUGCGAAAGCAUUUGCCAAGGAUGUUUUCAUUAAUCAAGAACGAAAGUUAGGGGAUCGAAGACGAUCAGAUACCGUCGUAGUCUUAACCAUAAACUAUGCCGACUAGGGAUCGGACGAUGUUAAUUUUUUAAUGACUCGUUCGGCGCCUUACGGGAAAC
rnacentral:rRNA from 1 species